UACAGAGGGUGCAAGCGUUAAUCGGAAUUACUGGGCGUAAAGGGCGCGUAGGUGGCUAGGUAAGUUGGAUGUGAAAUUCCUGGGCUCAACCUGGGGACUGCAUUCAAAACUGCCUGGCUAGAGUAGGAUAGAGGGAAGUGGAAUUUCCGGUGUAGCGGUGAAAUGCGUAGAUAUCGGAAGGAACACCAGUGGCGAAGGCGGCUUCCUGGAUCCAUACUGACACUGAGGCGCGAAAGCGUGGGGAGCAAACAGG
rnacentral:rRNA from 1 species